CCUACGGGGGGCAGCAGUGAGGAAUAUUGGUCAAUGGCCGCAGGGCUGAACCAGCCAAGUCGCGUGAGGGAUGACGGUCCUAUGGAUUGUAAACCUCUUUUGGCAGGGAGCAAAGGGCGCCACGUGUGGCGCUUUGCGAGUACCUGAAGAAAAAGCAUCGGCUAACUCCGUGCCAGCAGCCGCGGUAAUACGGAGGAUGCGAGCGUUAUCCGGAUUUAUUGGGUUUAAAGGGUGCGCAGGCGGAAUGUCAAGUCAGCGGUAAAAUUUCGGGGCUCAACCCCGUCGUGCCGUUGAAACUGGCGUUCUUGAGUGAGCGAGAAGUAUGCGGAAUGCGUGGUGUAGCGGUGAAAUGCAUAGAUAUCACGCAGAACUCCGAUUGCGAAGGCAGCAUACCGGCGCUCAACUGACGCUCAUGCACGAAAGCGUGGGUAUCGAACAGGAUUAGAUACCCCGGUAGUC
rnacentral:rRNA from 1 species